UUCCUCUUCUUUAUCUUCUCCCCUGCUUUUUCUUUCUUCUGUAUUCCUGUCCCCAACGCCUCUCUCUCUCUCACACAGUGUCGUCGGCCGUCCUUCUUCCGGCACGUUCUCUCUCCUGCAGUUUCUCUCUCUCCGGCGUUCUCUAUCUGCUCUGUUUGCCGUUGUUCUCAGUAGUCUUUGUUUAUUGCAUGUGCCGGUGUAGAUCUGCUUUGUUGCUGUUGUUCUGAAUGUUGUGGGUUCAGUCGUUCAGAGAGAUGAAAAAAGUUUGGAAACUUGCAGAGAAUGGAGAGUGAAACCAAGAGUAAGGCUGAGCAAGAAUGUGGUUCAUCGGAGGGUUUGAGGAAUGGGAGUCAUUGGAAUGUAGUGUCUGCUCACAUGUUGCAGUGGUUAGGAAAUAAAAAUCAAAUUCUGGAUUUUUGUGUAUGUGGUUAGGUGCGGCUCACAUGAUCGGAGGAGAUGCAAGAUCAGAGCAUUCUGUUGCAGUGAGAUUUUUGAUUGCAGACAAUAAAGACAAGAUUUUUUAUUUGAA